GGCCCUGUUCUUCUUGAAGCACCGUGAGAACCGAGGGAAAGGAAGGCUGUUGUUGGAUCGGGGCUUUGGCAGCAGGGGCAAAACCAGCCUUGCUCUGAUACUAAGUUGAUGCCGGACCAAAUUUAAAAUGGAAGCAGAAGAAGAAGAGAAGAGAAGGAGGAAGAAGAAGAGAAGAAGGAGAAGGAAGGAGGAGAAAGGAGAGGAAAACGUGGGGGAAAGAAAUUCUUAAUUCUUCAUUAACCCUAAUCA
rnacentral:lncRNA from 1 species